AGGUGGAGGUUGGGCCACCGCGGGCGGGUUUUCCGCUCCGUGGGGAGGCUGGUUUGGCCGAUUCGGGACCUGAACAGGAGUAGGAGGUUUACCAGUCUUAGGUGACUAAGCAGUUUCACAAA
rnacentral:lncRNA from 1 species